rnacentral:lncRNA from 1 species
CAGUGCUACUGUGCCUCAUCGCACUGGUGAGAGUUCAUUCCCAGAGCUUGAGCUGUGUGGGAUGUGCAGAACACAGUGAGUGCCUGCUCCCAUUUCACGUUGCAUCGAGCUACCCCUCAGCACCAGAUGAAGAGCCCCUGCUUGAAUGCAGCACACUGCUCUGCUGGGAGCAGACAACAGCUGAUUCCUUCCGCAGGCUCCGGGGCUGUGAGCGUGUCUCACCUCUGCGGUUACACCAGCACUGCUGGGAGCACAGUGAGCAGCACAGCUGAGCCCCUCCUCGCAGCACACAGCUCGCCUCCUGUGCCCCCUGCAGCUCUUGCUGCCUUGCGUUGCUGGGUGCUGCUCGGAGGGCACCGUGUGGUUUCUUUGCUCGCUUUGGAUGAGGACAGCCCUGCUGUAGGAUGGGCCCUCCUCUGCAGCCUAGGACCACAAGCGCUGCUCCUGAGAGCUGUGUUUUGCAGAGC